rnacentral:rRNA from 1 species
GACGAACGCUGGCGGCGUGCUUAACACAUGCAAGUCGAACGGAAAGGCCCUGCUUUUGUGGGGUGCUCGAGAGGCGAACGGGUGAGUGAAACGUGAGUAAACUGCACUUGACUGUGGGAUAACUUCAGGAGACUGGGGCUAAAACCGGAUAGGAGCUCUUGCUGCAUGGGGGGGGUUGGUAAGUUUCGGCGGUUGGGGAUGGACUGGAGGGUUAUCCGCUUGUUGGUGGGGUAGGGGAUUCCCACGGCUACGAGGGGUAGCCGGCCUGAGAGGGCGGCCGGCCACAAUGGGCCUGCGGUACGCCCCAGACGCCUACGGGAGGCAGUGGUGGGGAAUAUUGCAGAGUGGGCCGAAGCCUGAGGCAGCGGCGCCGCGUGCGUGAUGACGUCCUUCUGGUUGUGAACCGCUUUCGCCUUAAACGAAGAGUGAGUGACGGUAAUGGGUAAAAAAGCACCGGCUAACUACGUG